UGCCAGAAAAGUAAACCAGUACAAUAGAGUUCUUUUGUUUUUUAUGAACCAAAAGAUAGACUUGAUUUGAAUUGUCAGAUUGUUGUCAAAGGUUGAUAUGAACCGUAAAAAUUCUCGGUUUCUACUUCCUAAACUUCAAAUUUUACUGAUGGUACUUCUGCGACCGUUGAGGCCAACUCACAGGACGACUUAUCCCGUUUAAUUGUCUGAACAUAAUGUUCAGUUAGACGAUAAAUAUUAAGUUUGAAUUAUAUUUUAACAUUUAUAUGUACGAAUAAAUAUGGUUAACUGGUUA